GUGAUUUUGGAGGGCAAGUCUGGUGCCAGCAGCCGCGGUAAUUCCAGCCCCAAUAGCGUAUAUUAAAGUUGUUGCAGUUAAAAAGCUCGUAGUUGAAUUUCGGGGUUAGUAGGUUGGUCAUGCCUCUGGUAUGUACUGGUCUCACUGAUUCCUCCUUCCUGAUGAACCGUAAUGCCAUUAAUUUGGUGUUGCGGGGAAUUUGGACUGUUACUUUGAAAAAAUUAGAGUGUUUAAAGCAAGCUAACGCUUGAAUACAUUAGCAUGGAAUAAUGAAAUAGGACGUUCGAUCUUAUUUUGUUGGUUUCUAGGAUUGACGUAAUGAUUAAUAGGGAUAGUUGGGGGCAUUAGUAUUCAAUUGUCAGAGGUGAAAUUCUUGGAUUUAUUGAAGACUAACUACUGCGAAAGCAUUUGCCAAGGAUGUUUUCAUUAAUCAAGAACGAAAGUUAGGGGAUCGAAGACGAUCAGAUACCGUCGUAGUCUUAACCAUAAACUAUGCCGACUAGGGAUCGGAUGAUGUUAAUUUUUUAAUGACUCAUUCGGCGCCUUACGGGAAACAAUCGAAUUCCCG
rnacentral:rRNA from 1 species